rnacentral:rRNA from 1 species
AUUGAACGCUGGCGGUCUGCUUAACACAUGCAAGUCGAACGGAAUCCUUAGGGAUUUAGUGGCGGACGGGUGAGUAACACGUAAGAACCUGCCUCUAGGACGGGGACAACAGUUGGAAACGACUGCUAAACCCGGAUGAGCCGAAAGGUAAAAGAUUUAUCGCCUAGAGAGGGGCUUGCGUCUGAUUAGCUAGUUGGUAGGGUAAAGGCUUACCAAGGCGACGAUCAGUAGCUGGUCUGAGAGGAUGAUCAGCCACACUGGGACUGAGACACGGCCCAGACUCCUACGGGAGGCAGCAGUGGGGAAUUUUCCGCAAUGGGCGAAAGCCUGACGGAGCAAGACCGCGUGGGGGAGGAAGGUUCUUGGAUUGUCAACCCCUUUUCUCAGGGAAGAACGCAAUGACGGUACCUGAGGAAAAAGCAUCGGCUAACUCCGUGCCAGCCGCCGCCGUAAGAC